rnacentral:rRNA from 1 species
GUGCAGCAGGCGCGAAAACUUUACAAUGUGCGAAAGCACGAUAAGGGAACUCUGAGUGCCUCCUAAGGAGGCUGUUCUGAUGUCUAAAAAGCAACAGAAGUAAGGGCUGGGUAAGACCGGUGCCAGCCGCCGCGGUAACACCGGCAGCCCAAGUGGUAGCCACGUUUAUUGGGUCUAAAGCGUUCGUAGCCGGCCAGGUAAGUUCCUUGGUAAAUUUAGCCGCUUAACGGUUAAGCUUUCAGGGAAUACUGCUUGGCUUGGGACUGGGAGAGGUCAGAGGUACUCCGGGGGUAGGGGUGAAAUCUAUUAAUCCCUGGGGGACCACCGGUAGCGAAGGCGUCUGACCAGACCAGGUCCGACGGUGAGGGACGAAGGCUAGGGGCGCGAACCGGAUUAGAUACCCCUGUAGU